rnacentral:rRNA from 1 species
UACGAAGGUCCCAAGCGUUGUUCGGAAUCACUGGGCGUAAAGGGAGCGUAGGCGGCGUGGUAAGUCAGAUGUGAAAUCCCGGGGCUCAACCCCGGAACUGCAUCCGAUACUGCCAUGCUUGAGGGUUGGAGAGGUAGCUGGAAUUAUCGGUGUAGCAGUGAAAUGCGUAGAUAUCGAGAGGAACACCUGCGGCGAAGGCGGGUUGCUGGGCUGACACUGACGCUGAUGCGCGAAAGCUAGGGGAGCGAACGGG